rnacentral:rRNA from 1 species
UAGGGAAUCUUCCACAAUGGACGAAAGUCUGAUGGAGCAACGCCGCGUGAGUGAAGAAGGUUUUCGGAUCGUAAAGCUCUGUUGUUGGUGAAGAAGGAUAGAGGCAGUAACUGGUCUUUAUUUGACGGUAAUCAACCAGAAAGUCACGGCUAACUACGUCNCA